ACCGGGCGCCGUGGCGCAUGCCUGUAAUCCCAGCAGCUUGGGAGGCUGAAGCAGGAGGAUUGGGUUGUGAGUUUAAAGCCAGCCUCAGCAACAUAGUGAGGCCCUAAGCAAUUCAGCCAGACCCUGUCUCUA
rnacentral:sRNA from 1 species